AGUGAACGCUGGCGGUAGGCCUAACACAUGCAAGUCGAACGGCAGCACAGUAAGAGCUUGCUCUUACGGGUGGCGAGUGGCGGACGGGUGAGGAAUACAUCGGAAUCUACUUUUUCGUGGGGGAUAACGUAGGGAAACUUACGCUAAUACCGCAUACGACCUACGGGUGAAAGCAGGGGAUCUUCGCACCUUGCGCGAUUGAAUGAGCCGAUGUCGGAUUAGCUAGUUGGCGGGGUAAAGGCCCACCAAGGCGACGAUCCGUAGCUGGUCUGAGAGGAUGAUCAGCCGCACUGGAGCUGAGACACGGUCCAGACUCCUACGGGAGGCAGCAGUGGGGAAUAUUGGACAAUGGGCGCAAGCCUGAUCCAGCCAUACCGCGUGGGUGAAGAAGGCCUUCGGGUUGUAAAGCCGUUUUGUUGGGAAAGAAAAGCAGCAGGUUAAUACCCCGCUGUUCUGACGGUACCCAAAAAAUAAGCACCGGCUAACUACGUG
rnacentral:rRNA from 1 species